rnacentral:rRNA from 1 species
UACGUAGGCAGCAAGCGUUGUUCGGAAUUACUGGGCGUAAAGAGUGUGUAGGCGGUGCUCUAAGUCUGUUGUGAAAUCUCCCGGCUUAACCGGGAGGGUGCGGCGGAAACUGGAGUGCUUGAGGGUGGGAGAGGUAAGCGGAAUUCCUGGUGUAGCGGUGAAAUGCGUAGAUAUCAGGAAGAACACCAAUGGCGAAGGCAGCUCUCUGGGACGGUACUGACGCUGAGGAGCGAAAGUGUGGGGAGCGAACAGG